rnacentral:rRNA from 1 species
UGCCAGCCGCCGCGGUAAUACGAAGGGGGCUAGCGUUGUUCGGAAUUACUGGGCGUAAAGCGCACGUAGGCGGACUUUAAGUCAGAUGUGAAAUCCCAAGGCUCAACCUUGGAACUGCAUUUGAAACUGGGAGUCUAGAGAUCAGGAGAGGUUAGUGGAAUACCGAGUGUAGAGGUGAAAUCCGUAGAUAUUCGGAGGAACACCAGUGGCGAAGGCGGCUUUCUGGACCAAUACUGACGCUGAGAUGCGAAAGCGUGGGGAGCGAACAGGAUUAGAUA